rnacentral:rRNA from 1 species
AGUGAACGCUGGCGGUAGGCCUAACACAUGCAAGUCGAACGGCAGCACAGUAGAGCUUGCUCUUCCGGGUGGCGAGUGGCGGACGGGUGAGGAAUACAUCGGAAUCUACUUUUUCGUGGGGGAUAACGUAGGGAAACUUACGCUAAUACCGCAUACGACCUACGGGUGAAAGCAGGGGAUCUUCGGACCUUGCGCGAUUGAAUGAGCCGAUGUCGGAUUAGCUAGUUGGCGGGGUAAAGGCCCACCAAGGCGACGAUCCGUAGCUGGUCUGAGAGGAUGAUCAGCCACACUGGAACUGAGACACGGUCCAGACUCCUACGGGAGGCAGCAGUGGGGAAUAUUGGACAAUGGGCGUAAGCCUGAUCCAGCCAUACCGCGUGGGUGAAGAAGGCCUUCGGGUUGUAAAGCCCUUUUGUUGGGAAAGAAAAGCAGCAGGUUAAUACCCCGCUGUUCUGACGGUACCCAAAGAAUAAGCACCGGCUAACUUCGUG